rnacentral:lncRNA from 1 species
AAUUUUUUCACCUGUAAUCAAAUAUAAAACCAUAAGACUCAUUUUGGCUCUAGUUGUUCAAUUUGAUUGGGAAUUAGAACAAUUAGAUGUGAAAACUACCUUUUUACAUGGGGAAUUGGAAGAGGACAUUUAUAUGUGUCAACCUCAAGGUUUUGAAGAAAGGGGGGAAUCUGAUUUUGUUUGUAAAUUGCAAAAAUCACUGUAUGGACUGAAACAAAGUCCAAGACAGUGGUAUAUAAGGUUUGACACAUAUGUUUUGAAAAUUGGUUUUAGAAGGAGUGAAUAUGAUCACUGUUUAUACUAUAAUAAUUCUAAUUAUACUAUAAUAAUUCUAAAACCGGGUCUAAAACGUAUCUACUACUCUACGUAGAUGAUAUGCUUCUUGCCAGCCCCAGUAAAGCUGAAAUAAUGAGGCUGAAAAACCUAUUAAAGUCUGAAUUUGAUAUGAAGGACUUAGGAAAUGCCAAGAAAAUUUUAGGGAUGGUGAUAAAUCGAAAUAGGCAAGAAAACAUGCUAACCAUAUCACAAGAACCCUACCUACACAAAGUUAUAAUGAAGUUUGGCAUGAAAGAAGCUAAGUCCGUCAAUGUUCCCCUUGCUGCCCAUAUGAAUCUCUCAUCAGCCCAGUGUCCAAAAACUGAAUCUGAAAUUAAAGAUAUGACAAAUAUCCCAUAUGCCAAUGCAAUUGGAUCUGUUAUGUUUUCCAUGAUUACAACACGACCAGAUCUUGCAUAUUCAAUCAGUUUUUUAAGUAGGUUUAUGGCAAACCCUGGAAAACCACAUUGGGCUGGGUUAAAGUGGCUACUUAGAUACAUAGUUGGGACACUAAAUGUAGGAUUGGUGUUCAAAAAGGGAUCGAAACUAUUAACUCUUAAAGGAUAUGUGGAUUCCGAUUUCGCUGGAGAUAAAGAUCAAAGAAAGUCUACAAUUGCCUUCUUUUUUACACUUGGUGAUAAUUGUAUUACGUGGAAGUCUCAACUUCAAUCAAUUGUAACUUUGUCUAGCACUGAAGCUAAAUAUGUGGCAAUUACUGAAUGUGUAAAAGAAUGCAUGUGGCUUAAAGGGAUCUUAACUGAACUGAAUUUUCUAAAUACUCCACCUGUGAUAUUAACUGAUAGUCAAAGUGCUUUACUUUUAAGCAAAAAUCUUGUCUAUCAUGAAAGGUCAAAACACAUUGAGGUGAAGUAUCAUUUCAUAAGAGAAAAACUCUCAUCUGGUGAAAUGGCUCUUGAGAAAAUUCAUACUGAUUUUAAUCCUGCUGAUAUGGGGACUAAAAUACUGACUGUUAAUAAAUUCAAAUCUUGUUUAUCAUUGCUUAAUAUUGAUACAGGUUG